AGAUUCAUUUCUCUUGGAGGAAAAGUCAAAAGCAAGAGACUAGAAGCUCUUUCAGAGGUGAUGGCUGACUUUGAUAUCGUAGUUAACUGCUGUGGUUUGGGAAAUUACCAGUUGAAUAAUGAUCGACAGAUGACACCGAUUCGUGGUCAAGUCAUUAGGGUAAAUGCACCAUGGAUAAAACACUUUUACUUCAUUGAUGAGGAAACUAAACCAUUAUAUAUUUUUCCUACGUUCCAAAGCUGCUAAAGCUAUUCAAGACAUUCAUGUUGUGUAUGGAGAAAUUGGCUUUUAUUGAAAGAAAUUCACAGAAAUGGUUGUUACACUUCAAGGAAGGGAAAUUUGACCUCACAGACUGUUCAGUUUGAUGAGAAUCAAUUGAACCAGCUCAUCCAUGAGGAUCCACAUCAGUUCACUAGACAAUUGGCUCAGCUGAUGGAAUGUUCUCACAAUAACAUUGAUAAAGACAAUUAUCUCAGCUGAUGGAAUGCUCUCACAAUGAUUGAUAAAGUCAAAAAAUUUAAUGCAUGGGUGCCACAUGCUUUAAAUGAAAGAGUUGAACACUAGCACAACUCUAUCACUGCCAAUUUUCUCAUUUGACAUUAUGCUACUUGUGCACACAAACACUGAUUGGGAAAUGCUUGAAAACAAUCACACAAUCAAUGCAAAGUUUUAUGUUUAAUGAAUUAUCCAACUCAAUGAGGUAAUACAGCUGAAACGACCAGACCAGUGACAAAGUGUGCUUCUUCAACAAAAUAACACUCACCCCACCACCUCCCACUACACACCCCAUGUCACUAAUUUGGCCAAAAAUGUUAUUCAAGAUCAUUACUGGGACGUUCUACAUAUCCACUGAUAUAGAGACUUCAGAUUAUCACCUUUUUUCAGUAACUUUCCAAAAGUUUGCAAAGUGUUUCAUUCAACAGUAAUGUGGAGUUGAAAACAUGGUUUGAUGACACCUUCAAGUCAAGAUCUGAUUAUUUCAACUGUUGCCUGAGCCAUGUAAAAAGCACCCUGUACAUUUGGUAAAGUGGUAGGCAUUAGAAAGAGCAUCCAGUCAUAGGAACUAUUGAAAAGCAGACAGUGGAGCUUGGAACAGUCCACUGACUAACCAGUUCCUCUGGAAUCAUCCUACCCAUGCCACCAUGGAGAAUGGACAUUAAAUGGUGAUGGAUAAAUAUAUAUAUAUAUAUAUAUAUAUAUGUGUGUAUGUAUGUAUGUAUGUAUGUAUAUAUAUAUAUAUAUGUGUGUGUGUAGAGUAU